UCCCUGCUAGCUCAGUUGGUAAAGAAUCUGCCUGCAAUUCAGAAGACCUGGGUUCAAAUCCUGGAUUGGGAA
rfam:Ovis aries breed Texel chromosome 2, whole genome shotgun sequence.